rnacentral:misc_RNA from 1 species
ACCUGGGACCGUGACCGCGAUUGCGACAGCGACAGCGAUUUAAAACCAUGGUACCCAUUGAGUUCCAGUCCAGUGGUUUAUAAGGCGCUGAGGUUGCUUCCAAAUUUCUGAAGAACGUAAGGCAUCCUAUCCUUUUACAAGGGUCUUUAUUAUACACAUCUAAUCAUUUGUUUUCCAAAUAACAUUAGGAUUUUUCUUGCUAGAACUGGAUACAAUAUACUAUGGUGAGACCCACUAGAAUUUGCCCAUAACAUUGCUAGUGUGACUCAAAAUGAAACUAACAUGCUCUAUAGCUUCGUUGGAGUUAUGUCCAGGGCCAGGCCUUA